UGGGUAACCUGCCUCAAAGAGGGGAAUAGCCUCCCCGAAAAGGGAGAUUAAUACCGCAUAAUAUGUUUAAGUCGCAUGACUUUAACAUCAAAGGAUUUUCUUUUAGAAAUUCCACUUUGAGAUGGACCCGCGGCGCAUUAGCUAGUUGGUGAGGUAACGGUUCACCAAGGCAACGAUGCGUAGCCGACCUGAGAGGGUGAUCGGCCACAUUGGAACUGAGACACGGUCCAGACUCCGUACGGGAGCAG
rnacentral:rRNA from 1 species